AGCGGCAGCACGGGUACUUGUACCUGGUGGCGAGCGGCGGACGGGUGAGUAAUGCCUAGGAAUCUGCCUGGUAGUGGGGGAUAACGCUCGGAAACGGACGCUAAUACCGCAUACGUCCUACGGGAGAAAGCAGGGGACCUUCGGGCCUUGCGCUAUCAGAUGAGCCUAGGUCGGAUUAGCUAGUUGGUGAGGUAAUGGCUCACCAAGGCGACGAUCCGUAACUGGUCUGAGAGGAUGAUCAGUCACACUGGAACUGAGACACGGUCCAGACUCCUACGGGAGGCAGCAGUGGGGAAUAUUGGACAAUGGGCGAAAAGCCUGAUCCAGCCAUGCCGCGUGUGUGAAGAAGGUCUUCGGAUUGUAAAGCACUUUAAGUUGGGAGGAAGGGCAGUUACCUAAUACGUAUCUGUUUUGACGUUACCGACAGAAUAAGCACCGGCUAACUCUGUGCCAGCAGCCGCGGUAAUACAGAGGGUGCAAGCGUUAAUCGGAAUUACUGGGCGUAAAGCGCGCGUAGGUG
rnacentral:rRNA from 1 species